GGGUAAAAAACCACCGCAAAACAGCAAGGGCGUAGCGCACCACGCGAGGGAAGAGUGCGCCACAGCGAGCGAACCCCCUUUCUGGCAGCGAGAGCGGACAGAGGCAGCUGCAGAAAUAUCUCCCUCGUCACCCCCUUUCUCUCCCUCGUCUCUUCCUAUCCCGCUCCUCUCCUCCAUGCCGCCUCCGCCGCGGCUUCCCCCCUCCCUCUCGGCCGCCUGUCUCCCCCACCGGCUGGCGCAGCUCCUCGCGUCGCCUUCCUCUCCUCUUCAUGCGCGGCGGCGUCUCGUCAUCCCCAGCCACCGCCCAUCCCCAGCCCCCACCCUAGCCUCCCCAAUCCCCUCCUCCCGCACGAACCCUAGCAGAGAGAGAAAAUGAGAGGGAGAGAGAGAAGGAAGGAGAGGGGAGGAGGGAGAAAGAGAGAGGAAAGAGGGGAGGGAGGUGUGGCGGCCGGCGUCAGCCUGCGCCGGCGAGGUCGGGCGCGACCUGGCGGUUGGCGGCGGCUCGAUCCGUUCCUGGAUCGGGAGCUGUGAGGAGGCUGGGGCUCGGGCGCGAUGCACGGGAGGCUGCACCCCGCCUCCAUCUCCACGCGUGCAGCGGCGACCCCGGGAGGAGCUCGAGCCGCAGCGGUGGUCCACGGCGCCGGCGUCGGUAGGAGGAGCGUGGGCCGCAGAGACGGCCGGCUCCGUCCGGCUUUUGCGCUGCCGUCCAUCCACCCGAGCGAUCAGUCCGCGCGUCCUCGCCUCCGUCCUCUCACGCACGCCCUCGUGUCCGGAUAUUUGGUAAUUUCUUUUCUGAGCAUAAAUAGAUAUUGUGCCCCCACCUGUUUGUUGUUUUGCCCAGCUGAAAGGUGGAUCAAAUAUGAAAGACGUGAGCGUUCAAUAGUGUGAAAAACAAGCCCUGGUCUUGUUGAAGUCCCAUUGAAUUUCUGUGAUACUAAUGCUCAUAUUUUGCAAUUUGCUCUCCACAGCUUUCAGUCACGGAUUCUUGAGGAAAACAGGAAAACAGGUAAUAUAUAUAUGAUUAGUGUUUGGGUGACCAUUGAUUCCUACACCGAGUUGUGUUGCUGUACAAAUAGCCUCUCUUUUUGAUGGUGACAGGGUGUCCCUUCCAGUUUUUUCAUGUGCAGGUUCAGCAGCAGGCAAUGCUCAGGACAGAGUUGGGUGCACAUCAUAUAUAUACAUAUGUUGUCGCAUCUUAAUAAACGGAGAUGAGCAGAAGCAGAGAUGAGAUAUCUAUCCGACUGUCAUCCUUCCCAGACUUGGGUCUGUCAUCUCUGGCACCAUAACUCUAAUCCGACAUGAGCAGUGCAACCACGGCAGUGGGCAGUGGAAUCACAAGAUAGAGAUAGACACAAGUAGAAUAUAACUUGUCAUAUUUCUACAAUGACCACACUACUUAUGGUUCCGGAAGAGAAGGUAUCAGUGAUAGUGGGCCUGGUGAUGAGGGCAUCAAUACAAAGAGAUUAAUUGACAACUCUGUUCUUGAUAGGUUGUACAAAUAUACAAGCCGGUCCUUUUAGAGUCUUGGAACAUGACUCUUCAGCGUGGGAUUUGGUGGAUGGAUUGAGGCAGAAAUAUCUACCUCGUCAGACCCUCUCUCUCCCUCAUCUCUUCUUCAUCCCGCUCCUCUUCUCUAGGCCGCCGCCGCGGCUUUCCUCCUCCCUCUCGGCUGCCUCAUCUCCUCUGCCUCCACCUCCACUGCCUCCUUACCCAACUAGCACGGGCAAGACGACGUGCAGGCAAAGGGAGAUGGCGGCGGCACUCAAUUCGGUCAGCAGUACAGAGAAGAUGAGAGGGAGAGAGAGAGGAAAGGGGAGAGGGAGGUGCGCCUGUCCCUCACCCCAUGUCCCCGGCGCACCGUCGCCCCUCCAAGCCUUGGUGGUCCAGGGAGGAGUAGAUGGCACCAACUUCGAUUCCGGCCUCCGCCCUGAGCUCCGCCGCCUCACGAACUCGAGGCGACGAGCGCCGCCCCCACGAGCUCACUCCGCCUCUCGAGGACCUCCUCUCCUUCGCGGCCCCGAGCGAUGUCUUGAACUCUUCUGUCCCUACACAUGGUCAGCAUCAGCAGAGGGCCAAACUAUAUUCGUUUGAAGGAUGCAACUGCAGGCGCAAACAAUUUUGCUGGGUAGGUGGUCAAAGCCCUAUUCUAUUGUUGUGAUACUGGUGAGCUUGCACGGUGCAGCAGCCUGGAGAGGCGGCUAACGGCGCACCUGCGAAGCAACAAUAAACACGUCUGAUGCCAACAUGCCAAGAUAGAAAAAUUGCAUCCGGCACACUGUUUACGACAUUGUGGCAUUGGACUAUGAGAAAGUUACGGUCCUUAUUGAUGCAACAACCGCUGCAAGGCCAGAUAUCCAUUUGGCAAGUAUUAGAGAUAUGAUGACUAUUGGCGUGGAAACACCAACCUUGGAAGAGUGGCGCCGUUAGGUUAGCAGGUGGUGUACUUCAUUCUUGGAGCUGACAUACAUGCCUAGGUGCAUCGAAGUCAACAAACGCGCUGCUACCUCUUGCUGACUCUCCAUUCGGCCCCGACAAGUGUAAUUAUCUUAAUAUUUGCAUAUAACUUCUAAUCCGUUUGGCAUACAAUUUUUCUGUACUGCACCCUUAUAAUUUGGGUUUGCUGAAUACACUAUAUUUACUUCAGUUCUCUUUUGAGUUAGCAAUAAUGACCAGUUAACAAUGUUUUAGCUGAUGAUUCAGGACAAUAUCGUCCUGUUCAUUAAGCAGAGUGGUGGGAAGCUCCCGGAAACACCCUUUCCAAAUAGAAUUUCUAUUUCAUUGUUAUGAAGGUUGAUUUUACCUAUUUGACUUAAAUGGUGACCUCCAUGCACUCCCAUAUUUUGCUUAGAUUCUCAUUUAAAUGGUGAGCGCUCAGAUUCUAAAUAUCGGCUCUUUAGUACUGUUUUAUUAUUUUAAGAAAAAAUAGGAGCAAUGUGAUUUUGUUCUCUAGAGACUGGAAUUGAAUAGUAUGUCCUUUUGGUACUGUCCUAUUGCCAUUUGUAGCUCCCAGAUGCAUCAGUUCGACUAGGCAUUAUCAUAUAUUUAUCAUGUUAUUUACAGUAGUAUGAUUUCUGCAUAGACUAAAUACCUUCUUUUGCUAAAGGUUACUUUUCUUCAUAAAAUUUAAUUCAUGAUGUAGUUUUACCAGUUGUAGUACCUUCAGCAUAGAAGCAGUAGUGGUCUGCUCCCCCAAAUAUCUAUAGCUCGUGGAUGUGGCGGUAUGGGGAAUAGGGAGUAGAUGAUAUGGGAAUAAGAGGAUCCAGGCACGUGCACAAAUUCUUGCUACCUGACGGCUAUGCUGAGGAUGCCUCUGACCUAUCUCAAGAAGAUUUGAGCCGCAGAAUGACGUGUACAGCGCACCAACAGUUCCUCCGACAACACAGCUGCUGUAUUGGUAGCAGCGACCACAACUUUCCACACAAGCGUCGCUAGCUAUGACCGUCAAUGUACCUGAUGCCGUAUAUGCCUCUCCAUCCCGUUAGUCUGCUCGAUUAUUCGGUUCUGCCAGCGCCAAGGUUCAACACAUUUUAGUUUUAUGGGAUGGACAUAGGUUGGAUGGAGCAUCGAGGAUUUCAGGCUUGGGGUGGCACAGUAGUCGGAUAGCAGGAUGAGUUGGAUGUGUUCUUCAGAGACCAGGUGAUGUCGUUGCCGAAAGUCUGCCAUCAUGGGAAAAGUCGGGAUCCCAACAAAAGUGCUUCUGGAUGCUAUGAAGCAACAGCUUAGCCUUCCAAGCGAAAGUAAGACAUUGUAAGCAAGUAAGACAUUUCCCAUGACGGCAGACUGAUGACGGCAGACAUAAACUCCUAUGACGACAAACUGAUGACGGCAGACUUAAAAAUGCUUCUGGAUGGUGUGCAGAGGUUUCUUAGUUCUUGUACUGCACCCCAUUCUUUUAGAAAUUGAAACUACUCCAGCGUCCAGUGUUAGCUAAGAGCUAAGAUGAGUACAAGAAUUUUCUGUAGAGAUUGUUGCAAGGAGACAUCUCUGUCCAGUGUUAGCUAAAUUUUAUUGGUCUCGGCAUUGGACUAUCUAUGCAUUGGUCUCACAUCUUAUUUUCGGAACAUUUGAGUACUCUUCAAAUAUGCAUACACUGCAUAUUUUCAGUGAUAGUCUGAAAAUAUGCAUAUACACUGUACAGCAGCAUAUUGGAAACAUUCAGGUUUUAGUAUAACUGAAUUUUUUGUUACAUACACUCUGCGCUUCUUCUGUAGCCGAAUUUUCUGUUACAUACACUCUGCACUUCUGCUUUAACUGAAUUUAUUUUUCAGGUUUUGUACAUCAGCCUACUGAAAACAUUCAGUCAUUGACAAAUCAUGACAUUACAAUCUGACAAAUCAUGCAUGCAAAAUCUGACCAAGUGUAAAAGCUUGUCAAAGCUCUCAUUCCUUGUUAUGUUAUAAACUGAAUGCCAAGAUAGAUUUCUCAAUGUACAAAUUGUUUGCACUUUCUGAGCACUGAAAUCUGUAUAUUUUAGAUAAAGUAGCAUUUGCCAGUAGAAGUCAUGGUUGGAUCAACAUAUUUUUCCACUGGAAUCCUUUUUUAAUGCAAGUUUACAGCUA